UUGUUCCUGAAAACUCACAGCUUAACUGUGGGCGUGCGGGCGAUACGGGCAGACUUGAGUACUGCAGGGGAGACUGGAAUUCCUGGUGUAGCGGUGGAAUGCGCAGAUAUCAGGAGGAACACCGGUGGCGAAGGCGGGUCUCUGGGCAGUAACUGACGCUGAGGAGCGAAAGCGUGGGGAGCGAACAGGAUUAGAUACCCUGGUAGUCCACGCCGUAAACGGUGGGUACUAGGUGUGGGUUUCCUUCCUUGGGAUCCGUGCCGUAGCUAACGCAUUAAGUACCCCGCCUGGGGAGUACGGCCGCAAGGCUAAAACUCAAAGAAAUUGACGGGGGCCCGCACAAGCGGCGGAGCAUGUGGAUUAAUUCGAUGCAACGCGAAGAACCUUACCUGGGUUUGACAUGCACAGGACGCUGGUAGAGAUAUCAGUUCCCUUGUGGCCUGUGUGCAGGUGGUGCAUGGCUGUCGUCAGCUCGUGUCGUGAGAUGUUGGGUUAAGUCCCGCAACGAGCGCAACCCUUGUCCUAUGUUGCCAGCGGGUUAUGCCGGGGACUCGUAGGAGACUGCCGGGGUCAACUCGGAGGAAGGUGGGGAUGACGUCAAGUCAUCAUGCCCCUUAUGUCCAGGGCUUCACACAUGCUACAAUGGCCGGUACAAAGGGCUGCGAUGCCGUGAGGUGGAGCGAAUCCUUGUAAAGCCGGUCUCAGUUCGGAUCGGGGUCUGCAACUCGACCCCGUGAAGUCGGAG
rnacentral:rRNA from 1 species